UGGGGAAUAUUGGGCAAUGGGGGAAACCCUGACCCAGCAACGCCGCGUGAGGGAAGAAGGUUGUCGGAUUGUAAACUUCUGUCCUCAGGGAAGAAGGAAGUGACGGUACCUGAGGAGUAAGCCCCGGCUAACUACGUGCCAGCAGCUGCGGUAAUACGUAGGGGGCGAGCGUUGUCCGGAAUGAUUGGGCGUAAAGGGCGCGUAGGCGGCCUGUUAAGUCUGGAGUGAAAGUCCUGCUUUCAAGGUGGGAAUUGCUUUGGAAACUGGCGGGCUGGAGUGCAGGAGAGGUUAGCGGAAUUCCCGGUGUAGCGGUGAAAUGCGUAGAGAUCGGGAGGAACACCAGUGGCGAAGGCGGCUAACUGGACUGUAACUGACGCUGAAGCGCGAAAGUGUGGGGAGCAAACAGG
rnacentral:rRNA from 2 species